rnacentral:rRNA from 1 species
AGAGGGUGCAAGCGUUAAUCGGAGUUACUGGGCGUAAAGCGUACGUAGGUGGAUAUUUUAGUCGGAUGUGAAAGCCCCGGGCUCAACCUGGGAACUGCAUUCGAUACUGGGUAUCUAGAGUAUGGUAGAGGAAAGUGGAAUUCCCGGUGUAGCGGUGAAAUGCGUAGAUAUCGGGAAGAACACCAGUGGCGAAGGCGGCUUUCUGGACCAAUACUGACACUGAGGUACGAAAGCGUGGGGAGCAAACAGGAUUAGAGACCCUGGUAGUCCACGCCGUAAACUAUGAGAACUAGAUGUUGCUCUCGCUUUAGAAGGGGUUAAUUUUGACUUUUUCUAAAGCGGGAGCUGUAUCGAAGCUAACGCGUUAAGUUCUCCGCCUGGGGAGUACGGUCGCAAGAUUA